UCCCCCACGGGGCGCAGCAGUAGGGAAUCUUCCACAACGGGCGAAAGCCUGAUGGAGCAACGCCGCGUGGGUGAAGAAGGUCUUCGGAUCGUAAAACCCUGUUGUUAGAGAAGAAAGUGCGUGAGAGUAACUGUUCACGUUUCGACGGUAUCUAACCAGAAAGCCACGGCUAACUACGUGCCAGCAGCCGCGGGAAUACGUAGGUGGCAAGCGUUAUCCGGAUUUAUUGGGCGUAUAGGGAAC
rnacentral:rRNA from 1 species